AUAUGAUGAACACCUAGAUGACGAGUCUUAUCGGAGUUAUCCAUGCAGACAACCUUUUAUUUUAUACCAUUCAUGCCUAACUGAAU
rfam:Aureobasidium subglaciale EXF-2481 unplaced genomic scaffold scaffold_0, whole genome shotgun sequence.